AGCCUCCUUCUUGGUGAGACUGGGCACUGUUGAUCAUGGUGGCCAGAAAUUGUUAAUGCGGCUACACCGAGACACGGGCUAUGCUUCCAUCACAGUCAAUGUAUUGCAAGGGUGACAAUGAGACCUGUACCGUUU